rnacentral:rRNA from 1 species
AUGAUCUCUGACUUGACCUGUGCUGGGUUUACUCCUGCAGCAGUCGGUAUCCAGUAUAGCGGGUUUUGGGACGUGGGGUGGAGUAGCUACGACGGGGAGGGGCCCUGCGAUGACCUUGAUGCCUACUACCGCUACCACCAGCAUCAAGUCAGAAAAGGAAGAAACAAGGCAUCAAAUCCAGAUAUUGGUAGCUUGGGCACUUUCGAGGACUGCUGCUCGGAUUCUUCCUGUGAUCUGAACAAGCCUGUUUAUCUUCUUAUGGUCCCUCCUCAUGCCUUCUCUGCAACUGAGAGGGCGAGACUGGGGAGGCUGAGUAGGAGACCAGAUAGCGGUGAUGUCGAGGUGGAAGUAGCCAUGAUCCCUGGAGAUGUUCCUCAAGAAGAGCAAAUGAUGGCUUGGAUGACAAGAUUCAUAUUUAUCUGUGCCUAUAUGGUGUUGCGUGAAAAUGCAAGCGGGCCGCAAGGUGCUGGUACUUGGAUCUCGGUUGCACUGGUGAGCCAUCACUUCUCUCCACCAUCCUCUUCACAAUUAUGGCCAAUUGAGCCCAGAGUUGCUAUACCACCAUUCUUGGCUAUGACGCUCAGCUUCUUCUUGACAGUCAACAUCCGACAAGUGGAGCACCCGACCAUAGGAGACGGAAGAGGAGGCGAGCUAUCCACAGUAUUGUCCUCUCCCCGCGUAGCCACCUACAUACACUGUCCACAAGUUGUAUCAACCUCCAUGUCCUGCACUUCCCCCGCCAGGUGGAAGCAGCACCAUCGACAUUCACGCCGUUUUCAUCCUUUGCAUCAAGAAUACGUCAUCCUCAUGUUGGCUCUGUGGGAGCCGAUGGGAUUACCAUGA